rnacentral:tRNA from 1 species
AAGGGAGACCUAAUUCGGGUAUAAGACGAAAAAAUAGUAGUCGAAACCAAGAAUCAAUCCCAAAAGGUCGGAACGAGGUAUGUGGCUUUCAAACUAGGUUCUGGGUUCAUAAAAGACCUGAAUCAGGAACAAGGGCUAUUAGCUCAGGUGGUUAGAGCGCACCCCCGAUAAGGGUGAGGUCCCUGGUUCGAGUCCAGGAUGGCCCACCUGCACAGGUGGUAAAAACAAGAGAAGCGAGGAAUCAGCACCUUAUCUUACUUACAUAGUAAGAGAGAAUGCUGGCUCUGAGUAAAGAGUCCAGAGGAACCUUGAAAACUGCAUAGAGCUAGGUGAAAAAGCCAAAAAAGAAGACCGCAA